rnacentral:rRNA from 1 species
UACAGAGGUCCCGAGCGUUGUUCGGAUUCACUGGGCGUAAAGGGUGCGUAGGUGGCUUGAAAAGUUUGAUGUGAAAGCUCAGGGCUUAACCCUGAAAUGGCAUUGAAUACUGUCGAGCUGGAGGUUUGGAGGGGGGACUGGAAUUCUUGGUGUAGCAGUGAAAUGCGUAGAUACCAAGAGGAACACCAGUGGCGAAGGCGAGUCCCUGGACAACACCUGACACUGAGGCACGAAAGCUAGGGGAGCAAACAGG